rnacentral:lncRNA from 1 species
UGAUGUCUGUGGAGGGAACCUUUGCUCGGGUCAACUGCACAUACAGCACCUCAGGGUUCAACGGGUUAUCCUGGUACCAGCAACGUGAAGGCCAAGCCCCUGUAUUUCUUUCUUAUGUUGUUUUGGAUGGUUUGAAGGACAGUGGGCAUUUCUCCACUUUCCUGAGCCGCUCGAAUGGGUACAGUUACCUGCUUCUGACAGAGCUCCAGAUCAAAGACUCUGCCUCAUACCUCUGUGCUGUGAGGGA